GUUGCUUCUUGGCCUUUUGGCUAAGAUCAAGUGUAGUAUGUGCUCUUCACAGUUUAGUAUCUGACAUGCCCUCUGUUUGAGGAUGCAAUAUUAGGUGCGCGUUUGGUACAAGGACAUGGACCAUGGAGUUGUUCUACCCACUCCAUGCAUUCGUCUCGUGUUGCUCCCUUGUGGGUAACUAUCGGUUACCACCCAA